AUUGAACGCUGGCGGCAGGCCUAACACAUGCAAGUCGAACGAGUGGCGGACGGGUGAGUAAUGUCUGGGAACCUGCCUGAUGGAGGGGGAUAACUACUGGAAACGGUAGCUAAUACCGCAUACCAUCAGAUGUGCCCAGAUGGGAUUAGCUAGUUGGUGGGGUAACGGCUAACCAAGGCGACGAUCCCUAGCUGGUCUGAGAGGAUGACCACCCACACGGGAACUGAGACACGGUCCAGACGCCUACGGGAGGCAGCAGUGGGGAAGAUUGCACAAGGGGCGCAAGCCUGAGGCAGCCAUGCCGCGUGUAUGAAGAGGGCCUUCGGGUUGUAAAGUACUUUCAGCGGUGAGGCGUUACCCGCAGAAGAAGCACCGGCUAACUCCGUGCCAGCAGCCGCGGUAAUUC
rnacentral:rRNA from 1 species